rnacentral:lncRNA from 1 species
AAAGAUCAUUCCUAUCACCAAAUCCCCAAAGACCAUUCUGUCCAAUCCCUGUGAUGACAUUCUUCUUUUGAGCCAGAGAUUUCUGCAUGGGACCAUGAGGCAGAGUUACACGUAUCAAGUCAACUGAAAUCCAGUAUCCUCCACUCACGUUAAUUCCCACUUAGAAAUAAUUCUCCUGUUUCUCUUCUACUUACAUGUUUCCAAGAUGUGAAUGUAUCACCUUAGAAGAGCUUUCACAAAAUAUAAAUCAUUGAUAUAAAGGCCAUACAUAUAGUAAAUCCUGGAUUUGUCAAACUUCAUGAGACAGACGGGGACUCACACAGAGGUAGCAAGAAAUACUGAGGUCUGACACAUGCGGAACUGGCAGCAAGGAAACUAAGUUCUGCCUUUUGUGCUGAUGCUCCUGGGGAGAGCAGCUUUGCAUCUGUGGUGGCAUGGACGGAGACCACAGCAUAACAUGCUCUGCGCUGACCAUUAACAACAGAACUGCUUCCAUCUACAAACCCCACUUACACUGCAUCCUGCAAGGGUCACUUUGGAGGUCUUUCCUUCUUGAAUAUACCUGAUCUACUAGCUCAGAACAGUCACGUGCCAGAGGAUCCUGUGAGACAGGAAGGAAGUUGGCUGGAUUAAGGACCUGGCAAGCUUUUAAGAGUAGCCGAGAAUCCAGCAGUGUUGCUUGAUACUGCAACAUUCUGCUAUUCAUCUAUUGGUCGUGUCCUUUUGUUUCCAAAACACUUGAACCCUGAUGUGGGGUUCACAUGGUUAGGGGCUGUCCCAUAGUGAGUUUUUUCUGCUUCUUAAUUAUCAGACAGGUUGCUACCAUGGCUCAAGGCAAGGUUGGAGCCUCAAGACAUGAUAUCCAAUUGUUUUGAAAAAUAUGCCACCACUCUCUUAAGAGGCCAAAGAAUUUAAGUUAAU